UACGAAGGGGGCUAGCGUUGCUCGGAAUCACUGGGCGUAAAGCGCACGUAGGCGGAUCUUUAAGUCAGGGGUGAAAUCCUGGAGCUCAACUCCAGAACUGCCUUUGAUACUGGGGAUCUCGAGUCCGGAAGAGGUGAGUGGAACUCCGAGUGUAGAGGUGAAAUUCGUAGAUAUUCGCAAGAACACCAGUGGCGAAGGCGGCUCACUGGCCCGAUACUGACGCUGAGGUGCGAAAGCGUGGGGAGCAACAGG
rnacentral:rRNA from 1 species